rnacentral:rRNA from 1 species
AUGGCCGGAAUUGUCAACAAGGAGUUUCCUGAGUUGGCCCAGACGGGGAUGAACUACCUAUCGUGGGCCUCGGACUGUGAGAUCUUUCUCCAGGGCAAAACCCUCCUGAGGGCGAUCGGUAAGGGGGCCCAACUAGCCGCCGCUGAUCCCAAGUUCGAAACUGAGAAUGCGCAGGCCCUGCACUUUCUCCGUCAUCACCUGUCACCUACUCUGAAAGAUGAGUAUAUGGCUGAGCGCAGUGCUUCUAGCCUUUGGACCGCUCUUAAGCAGCGGUUUGAGCGGCUGAAGUACACUGUGAAGCCACGUGCAGAGGCAGAGUGGAUCCGUCUGAGGUUUGCGGACUUCAGGACGGUUGGGGAGUACAAUUCGGCUCUGCAUCGGAUUCGUACGACUCUUCGGUUGUGUGGUACUGAGAUUACCGACUCCCAGAAGAUUGAGAAAACCCUAUCCACUUUCCACCCCGACGCGGUCCAGUACUCACGGAACUACCGCCAGGGGAACUACACGAGGUAUUCAGAGUUGAUUGACGUCCUCCAGGUGGCAGAGGGGCAGGAUGAGGUUCUCAAAAAGAACUUCGUCGCGCAACCACUUGGGGGAGUUCUCGCUAGGAGGUGA